AGUUAGGAAAACUAGAUGGCGCUGCCAUUCUUCUGGAUUGACUGCUAGUUACGUGCAAGCAUGAAGUUCAUGGAUGACAGGAUGGUGCAAGUUAAAUCGGUGCUAGCAGUGUUUCUUAAGUUUGCUGUGUUUUAAAGGAUUGUUCGUCUUAAAAUUAACGUCUUUAAGGUUUCAUCUACUAUGUUUUGCUGUCUGUCAACCAACAUCAUCCCAUUCAUCCAGUUUUCUCGGCUUCUCAACUUAGCCAACAAUCAACCAUCAGUAUUAAAUGCAUCCACUCCUAACACCUUCACUACUCAAUCAACUACCUUCUGUAGACUUCAACAUCCAAUCAAGAUCUUUAAAAACUUUGUCAUCGGAUCCCAUCUCGACCAGUGCAGCAGUCUUCGUCUUCGUAACCGGGCAACAUGCAUAGACUUAAACGCCAUCGCUUCAUUGUGAGCUGCCAAUUGUUCAUCGUCGUUUCCAACUAAAAAUCGCCGUUCAAAUACAAAUCAUCCAGUCAUGCGUCGCUAUAGAAUUUACCACGUGAUGUCUACUUUGAUUGAUCCAUGGCAGCGUGGAAGAUUCGUGGACUCAAGAAAACUCGUGGUGGGGGCGUACAGUGCAACGUGGAUCGUCACACUUUUUCUGUGGUAUUGUUUGUUUUGUUUUGUGUUGCUAGUUAACCCGUUGG